ACCUGCCCUUAACUCUGGGAUAAGCCUUGGAAACGGGGUCUAAUACUGGAUAUUGACUUUACCUCGCAUGGGGUUUGGUUGAAAGAUUUAUUGGUUUUGGAUGGACUCGCGGCCUAUCAGCUUGUUGGUGAGGUAAUGGCUCACCAAGGCGACGACGGGUAGCCGGCCUGAGAGGGUGACCGGCCACACUGGGACUGAGACACGGCCCAGACUCCUACGGGAGGCAGCAGUGGGGAAUAUUGCACAAUGGGCGAAAGCCUGAUGCAGCGACGCCGCGUGAGGGAUGACGGCCUUCGGGUUGUAAACCUCUUUCAGUAGGGAACAAGGCCAGCAUUUUUGUUGGUUGAGGGUACUUGCAGAAGAAGCGCCGGCUAACUACGUGCCAGCAGCCGCGGUAAUACGUAGGGCGCAAGCGUUAUCCGGAAUUAUUGGGCGUAAAGAGCUCGUAGGCGGUUUGUCGCGUCUGCCGUGAAAGUCCGGGGCUCAACUCCGGAUCUGCGGUGGGUACGGGCAGACUAGAGUGAUGUAGGGGAGACUGGAAUUCCUGGUGUAGCGGUGAAAUGCGCAGAUAUCAGGAGGAACACCGAUGGCGAAGGCAGGUCUCUGGGCAUUAACUGACGCUGAGGAGCGAAAGCAUGGGGAGCGAACAGGAUUAGAUACCCUGGUAGUCCAUGCCGUAAACGUUGGGCACUAGGUGUGGGGGACAUUCCACGUUUUCCGCGCCGUAGCUAACGCAUUAAGUGCCCCGCCUGGGGAGUACGGCCGCAAGGCUAAAACUCAAAGGAAUUGACGGGGGCCCGCACAAGCGGCGGAGCAUGCGGAUUAAUUCGAUGCAACGCGAAGAACCUUACCAAGGCUUGACAUGAACUGGAAAUACCUGGAAACAGGUGCCCCGCUUGCGGUCGGUUUACAGGUGGUGCAUGGUUGUCGUCAGCUCGUGUCGUGAGAUGUUGGGUUAAGUCCCGCAACGAGCGCAACCCUCGUUCUAUGUUGCCAGCACGUGAUGGUGGGGACUCAUAGGAGACUGCCGGGGUCAACUCGGAGGAAGGUGAGGACGACGUCAAAUCAUCAUGCCCCUUAUGUCUUGGGCUUCACGCAUGCUACAAUGGCCGGUACAAUGGGUUGCGAUACUGUGAGGUGGAGCUAAUCCCAAAAAGCCGGUCUCAGUUCGGAUUGGGGUCUGCAACUCGACCCCAUGAAGUCGGAGUCGCUAGUAAUCGCAGAUCAGCAACGCUGCGGUGAAUACGUUCCCGGGCCUUGUACACAC
rnacentral:rRNA from 2 species